rnacentral:rRNA from 1 species
ACUCCUACGGGUGGCUGCAGUGGGGAAUAUUGGACAAUGGGGGCAACCCUGAUCCAGCAAUGCCGCGUGUGUGAAGAAGGCCUUAGGGUUGUAAAGCACUUUCGUUAGUGAAGAAAGGUUUAUGGUUAAUACCUGUGAAUUUGACAUUAGCUAAAGAAGAAGCACCGGCUAACUCCGUGCCAGCAGCCGCGGUAAUACGGAGGGUGCAAGCGUUAUUCGGAAUGACUGGGCGUAAAGCGCACGCAGGCGGUUAUUUAAGUCAGAUGUGAAAGCCCCGGGCUUAACCUGGGAAUUGCAUUUGAAACUGGGUAACUAGAGUAUGUCAGAGGAAGGCGGAAUUUCCAGUGUAGCAGUGAAAUGCGUAGAGAUUGGAAGGAACACCGAUGGCGAAGGCAGCCUUCUGGGGCAAUACUGACGCUCAUGUGCGAAAGCGUGGGUAGCAAACAGGAUUAGAUACCCUGGUAGUCCACGCCCUAAACGAUGUCAACUAGGUGUUGGGCACUUAAGUGCUCGGUACCGCAGCUAACGCAUUAAGUUGACCGCCUGGGGAGUACGGCCGCAAGGUUGAAACUCAAAGAAAUUGACGGGGACCCGCACAAGCGGUGGAGCAUGUGGUUUAGUUCGAUGCAACGCGAAGAACCUUACCAGGCCUUGACAUCCAGAGAACUAAGCAGAGAUGCUAUGGUGCCUUCGGGAACUCUGAGACGGGUGAUGCAUGGUUGUCGUCAGCUCGUG